GGGCACGAAGGGAAAAGAAAACUGAAGGAAACUCUCCCGUGAUUCCUCAAAAUUUUACCAUCACCCGGAUCCGCAUUCCCCGACUGAAACUCGUAGAAUAUCUAUUUCCCCGCGCACAAACUCAACGACAAAAAAAAAAGAAACACCAAUCACCGUAACGAUCUAUUUUCAUCAAUGGUAAAAUUAGGUUCGCGCUGCGCGUCUCUGAAGGUUCGUCGCUAAUCCGCGUGCGGUAGGUGAAAAUUCGAAAAAUUACGAGACGAGAAAAUCCCGUGAAAUAGUUCAUGGAACGGUAAAUUUUGACCGGAACAUAAGCCCGCGGAAAAAAUGCUCGGGUACUUAACUUUUAUAAAGCGGUUUAUUUAGCGAGUCCGUUACAUGUAUAGCGGGUGUUUAAAUUAUGUACGCGAUAACGUCGCGUCCAUUGAAACAGUGCAGAAUUAUUAUUAUUAUUAUUUUUUCUUUGGUCAGGGUCACUCUUUUCGCUCGUAUGAUUAUCGUAGUCUUCACGAGCCCCGGGGGGGGUGCGAUCGAUAUCCGGACGUAUACGAGCCUAAAGGGCGAUCGCGGAUCCGUGGCGAAUCUUGGAUUGGAAAUGGACGUGCCACUUAGGUUUACAAAGCUGUCAUUUUUCUCCUUCUUGAUCUGGGUGCCGAGCCCAUUUCGCGGAUAAAUAGCAACAAUCCUCUCCCUCUCAGAAGGUCCCGGGUUUUCACCCCAAGACGAAGUGGUUAUACGUGAGUUAAAUUUUACGCCAGACUGUCGUCGACACUCGAUAUAACCGCGAGGAUAGGGAGCCACGCCGGUCGCCCACCGUACGGGACACGGGGUAUAACUACGUGGUAUUUUUACGGAGCUACAUACCUCAUCGUCGCUAAAGGAUCGCAAACUUCGCUCGAUCGUUCCAAAGAGGGACGAAGGUAGCGAGUUUUAAAAAGGGAGGGCCAUGGAAUGAAAGAGACGCCGGUUCCGUUGCCAAUUCUGAGUGCUAGCCGUCCCGAUGGAAGCGGCGGCAGGGGUGGACUCGAGCCGAGUUGCGUCGAGUCGAGUUGCGUCAAACGAAAAGUGUCUGUCACUCCCGAAACUUAAUGGAGCGUAAGAGAAAAUAGCGGAUGGAACGAAGUGGCGGAAAGCCGGUCGCGCGACGAUUCUCACUGUACGUCGGUGGAUCGAGGGGUAAGUCGGAAAGGGUGGAAGGGCGAAAGGGCGAAAGUCGGGCAAAUGACGGAAUUGUGUAAAAUCAAGCAUAGGUGUGUGUACACCUAUCAUGAGUGGCGCCUACGUGAAAUCCGAUUGCGGGAAAAACGGAAGAAAAAAAGUAAAAAUGCGCAGAGUCGAGAGGAGGGAAGUCGAGUAAAAUUCGGAAGUACGCACUGAGAACAAAAGUUGAGAUAGUGGCAGCGUUGUUUCACCAGAAACCCUAAAAUAAUAUCAGCCCUUCUUACGAGAGCAUUACUCUGUGGGCACCCAUGUGGUCACCCGCAGGUAUAUUAUGUACAAGUUUGUCGCACGAGUACAAUGGAGGGGCGAUGAUCGCCAAAUUGUCGAUUUAGGCCGAAAGAGUACGACGGAAUUCAGUCCACUCUAGGAAGCGGAUCAUCCGGUCGUUCUCUCCUCCUUGGGCUGUCGUGGCGAUCGUACGAGGUAAACGUGAGUUGAUAUUCGGUCAUUAAACACAGGAUUAUAUGGACGAAAGGCAUGCUAAGCCAGCUUUAAGGAUUAUGGGGAAAAAAUCGCCUGGUUUAUCAGCGGGAGCGGGAAAUGCGCCGUUCUCGAUCACUCGUUAUAUGGUUCUGAGCAUGACGAACGGGUUUUGCUCUUCGUAUGAGGAUGUAAUUCACGUCGGGGGAAAAAUGUACAUGAUGCGUUCGUGAACUACGUGACAAAACGAAAGGGAACCAUCGAUUUGCGAAAACCAUGGCAAAAAACGUAUUGGAACUCCGAGAGAAGGCCGAAUAAAAAUUAAGACAAGAGAGCGCGGAACGAUCCGAGAAUCUUUCCUCGCGACAGUUUUCACGGAGAAGAAAUCACCCGGCGUACAAAUGAAACCGUCCAGUCGGUGUGCGGCGGAAGACGUUUGGUGAGUUUAAUUCCGGUUGAAGCUGAAAACGCGUAAGUGAAGAACGAGGUGAAAAAGGAAGGCCUGCAGUAUACGCGGGCGAGGCAAUAUUUCAUUACAAUGAAGGACGGAAAAAAGGAAAGGGGGAAGGAAAAAAAAUUGAUUAAAAUGAAGAAAAGAAUUAGGACUGCACCGUGUCCGUCACUGCCUGGCUUAGGAGUCCGCGCGGUGGGUACGUACGUUCCGCAGUUUUCUAACGUUCUGAUGUGACCCACGGGGAUCCAACACUAUAAUUGAAACGUCGAGUAAUUGUGAAAAAUAAAGAACUCCGCCUGUCUACCGAAGAUACGUGGAACGGCUGCUGGAAUGGAUAUCCCCGAAAGGUAUUAGAACGGGAAAUGAAGAGUUCAUUUAUUUUACUGCUUUAUAUACUUGAACGGAAACAAUUUCAGAUUUUUUGAGAAUAUUAAACUUUUUGAAUAAUAUCUAAGAUUUAAUCAGGAUUCGUAUCUUCGUUCUUUCUCUUUUUCUUUUUUUUUCAUUUUCGCGGAGCUCUUCGACAUAUUUCUACUUGAAUUUUUUGAGUUUCGGCACCUCCGUCGCAACGCCGUCAGUUCUGCUCGACUCUGCACCGACACAGGAGUCAUACUUAACAAAGGCAAUAUU